ensembl:lncRNA
AAUUUACAGUACAUCCAUUGACCAGAAAACUAAAGCAAAGCAAGGGAGGACUAUGUACAAGAAGAGUGGAUAGAGGGGAAAAAUAAGUACUGUUGUUUCUGGAGGAGAGGAACAAUAUUCUCGGACAUGAUGCCUCACUCUGGGGUGUGUCAGUGGAGAAUGUGGGACAAAACUAAUAUGUCCUGAUCUCUGGAAGGCUUGGAUAUCAGUAUCUUGUGGUUUGGAGUAUAUAAAUACCUGCCAAGCUUCUAAUUUUUUUUUUUUUUGUAUGGUAUCUUUACCAAGAUAUUAUGCAGUGAUGAUGGAUCAUUCAGGGCCUCGUUCUUUGUAUCUAGCUCUACUAAAUGGACUGGUUUUCAGCUGGGUAGGCUUCUGUCACUGUUGAAGCAAGAAGAUGAAGCAGCGUCCUGUGAAACAGCAGAGUGCCCUGAGGAAGGAAGCUGAAACAUGAAUAGGGCUGUCAUCCCAUACAAGUUGCCUCUUGGCAAGGCUGUGAAGAUGAUGAAUGAUUCAGUGAGACUAGUUGAAUUUAUCCAAGGGAUUUACAAGCUGGUACAUUUUGCUGGACAAGGUAAGAUGUUGGAUGCAUUUUGUUGCAGAUAGAAUCGUUCUUUCUCUCCUGUUUCAAAAUUCCUCAUAGACAGAUCAGCUGGUCAAGCUUCCAUGUCUCAUCUUGACUUUGAAGACAGUCACCAUCUUUGACUGCUGAAUUUCUGAGUAAAAAAUAAUAUAUCGCCAAAAAGAAAACUGCAAACCAACAAGCCCUGCAUCACAAUUGGUAGUGACUGCCACACAAGGAGAUGGUGUAUAGAAGAUGAAGAAAAAAAAAGCAACAACAAAUGAGAUGGUUUCACUUCUUCCUUAGGGAGAACAACAAGAAUUUACAGACAUAGAAGAAGCACCACUCCUAGUACCACAGAUGCUCUAACAAGGACUCAGGUGUAUCACUUGCUUCAUGUUUUUGAACAGAUUGCUAACUGUAUUCUAAACCUGAACCACCUACUGAAGACCUGCAGGAAAAAAAAAAAAAAAAAAAAAGUGGAAGAAUUGUGGAUAUCCUAAUUUGAGAGGAGGUUAUAGCACAAUAUUAUUAAGAUCAAACUGCCUCUUGCCUCAAAUCAAGAAGAAAACCACUCUUCUUUGACUAAAGCCAGCUCCAGCUCUGAAGAAAAGCAGCAUGGCUUGCCUGACACUCUUGGUACAGAAGCUUCUCCAGCAGAGGUUCCUGCCAAUGAGAGACGAGAUCAGCUCACAUCAGAGGGAGGUCACUGGAUUCCUUGAAAAGAAGAGGUGGCUGUGCGUGUCUUCCUGUCCCUAUGCUUUCCUAAGCUACAGGGUAGCACUGAUCUUCCUCAGCAAGUUCAGUGCCUUGAAGCAACAGGAUCCCUGCCAGCCCACCAGGAUAGUGACAUCUGUGCUCCUGCAUACCAGUGUUUGGGAAGUAGGCAUGAUACCUGACAUCCAGCACAGUCAGGAACGAGCCAAAUCAAGAUGGGAAGGAGAGAAACUCUGGAUCUAUAGAGUGAGGAUGAGCUGGUGGACAUGCAGCCAACAGCAAGCUGUGUGUAGUAGUAAUUUCACUGGCUUUCGAGACCCUUCUAUCAGAGAACCUCAAUCACUGGGACAUACAAAAGAGGGGACAUGAAACUGAUCUCCCGAAAGGAAGUAAGGAAGAAGACUUCUGAGCUGGCGCUGAAUCACAGAGAAAUCAAACAGCCUUUUAUGCAGUUUUUGCAUACAUGGGCUUUCAGCAACAUGACCACGCAGAGCUGUGAUCUGACACAGCCAAGAGGUGAGCUCCUUGGCGUCAGGUGUGUGGUGCUAACGACAUGUCACGAGCAGCUGCCUGGCACUUGGCAAGCAUCUGCUUCCCAGGUAAGCAUUCUAAAAGGCAUUUACAAAUAUAAGACGUAACAUCACUGCACAUAGCUCUGGGAAUGUAAAGGGGGCUACACAAAAGGCUGGAUUUGUGAAAUUCAGUGUUUUGUUUACAGGUAGCAGGGCUGUUGUCAUUGUUGGCCUGUGAGAGCCUGAACUCCCAGCAUCUCCAAGAGUGCAGGUGAACGUCCUGACUGCCUGAGCCCUCUUCCUGUGCAACUUGUCUCUCAUCCAUUUCUCUGUAACCAGUACUGAGGGAGCAGGAACCAAUAAAGGCAAGGUAAGCACAGAUCUCUAAGUGCCCUGCCCUGUUUAUGGUCACUGAGGCCCUGCCAAUAACUGGGCCACCCAUGUUAUGUGCGUUUGUGGUUUUCCGGUGAUGUUAGACUUCUUAGAUGGGAACUAUGAGGACCAUAUGCCAAGCUUUUCUGGAGCAGCACUAGAAGCACUGCUGAGCAUGUUGCCCUGAAAAAUGCUUGGUACAGUCAUAAAAUAUCAGUAAGUUCCUUAUGUCAUAUAGUUUUGUUCUCCUCUUUUCUAUGUGACUCAGAAAAUCAAGAGGCUAAAAAUUGGCUUUCUGCUAUAAUCUGGUUCCUUAUUUGGCAUUUCCUUAUCUGAUCAGCUCAGCAAUUAUUUUCCCUUGUACAGAAAAUGGGUAAAUAAGGACAACUCAGAUGAGAAUUGAUCAGUUUGUUCCACAAACAGAACCUAAAUCAAACCUCUUUCUGAGGCUCAGUGGAUAUUACUCAGCAUUAAAAGACAGGUGUUCAUAUACCUCUGUCCUUUUCUCUCCUCUUCCUCUCCAGCUCUAAUGAGAAAGAAAAUAGGACUGAAACAUAGCAAUAAAAAACUUUUCACUGCAGGCAUGUAUUCCUUCACCUCUUCUUUUUCUGCCUCUCCUAGAUUCCCUUGAUCAAGAGUCUCUUGAUCUUUUGGUACGGAAAGUCAUCUCACCAAGUUUCAAACAUACCCAAUCGUUCAUAACUUCUCCCUUCAAGAAAUGUGUCAAGCUCCUUUUGCAUGUUUAUUUCUGCUCCUCUUUGCAGAUAUCUUUAAGAGCUUCUCUACAUUAACAACUUUGCUCUUCAACUUGCUUCAGAAGAUUCCCUUUUCUUUUCAAAAUUAAAUGCCAGAUUUAUUUUUGAUCUUUGAAGUGAAAGUGGCUUCUUACCUCUGUUUUUGCAUAGCUGGGAGUAAGUAUUGUCAGUUUUGAAGCCUCAAGCUCACAAUAUUUUCUGCUUGAACAGAAGUUGAAGCAAAGCCUGAGCAUGUAUUUUUCACCUUAGAUAACAUGCCAGUUCUCUAAGGGCAAGCAGCUCAACAGGUAAAUUGACAUGGAUUUUACAGAAAUCAGCUAUAUAAAUUACACCAGCUGAGACUCUAGUUGGAGAAAGCAAAAGCAAUCCUCUCUGGAAAGUAAGUAUAAUCAUCAACUGACUUUAACUUGCUUCUCUUGUCAGUGCAUCCUUUCAGCUUGAGGAUGUAAAAGACUGCAUCUUCUCCAUAUUUUAGGUGGUCCUCUUUGCUUGUUUAUGUGCAAAUUCUCCAUCACCCAACACAUUCACUUCUCUUGCACCUUAACUCAGACUGGAUGCAAGGGACAUCUCUAUAUGAAAACUGGCUGACAUAUCCUAUUGCUGUCACUAAGCAAGACUGAGUGGCCUCUUUUUCUGCUCAGUUGGUUUUUCAUACUUGAGUGGCUGUCCUGUUCAUUUUUGGAGGGCCCUCCAGUACUGCUUCAUUGCCUACAAAAAAUAGCUGCUGCAAUUGACUAGGCUGAAAGGAUCUAUGCCCAUUUCUAUUCCAGUUUCCCCUAUACUCAUGCUUUUUUCUUUUUUCUUUUUCUGCCCCAUUCUUUCAACAGUAGUGAACUGGGGGAUAAAGGAUUGGAUGUUCCAAGAAAUGAACAUGAAGUGCUGACUCCUUGAAUUCAUCACAUCUUCCAUGAAGAACAACAUUCUCCUCUCAUGCAGAAGAGUUGAAUGAGGACCCAGCACAACAGUUACGUCAAGCUGAAAGGGACCUCCUCCACAGAUUCAUGCACAGCCAAACUCACAAAAUGGAGAACUGUUCAAAAUGGAGAUUCGGACUUUGGACACAGUUCAGACAUGUUUUAUAGCAGUUUCUGGACAAAGACAGCAAGGCAAAGCUGUUCCAAGUCAAGACACCUAACAUUUCUUACAAGCAGUUCUACCUUAGUACAUCAGUACUCCUGCGCUUCUGUUUCAACCUGCUGGAGUAUGUGUAAUUGAUGUAGGGGUUGGGAAUGUCACCUGACAUGAACAUAAGGAAAAAGUUAAGCUCUCUCAGCUUCCAGCACAUAUUUUUUAAGACAUUUUAAUCCUCUCCCUUUCAUGUAUGAUAUACUCAGGAGGUCAAGGGAGCAUUAACACUUCCCUUCCUCCAUUGCCAUUAACACUGGCCAGCCCAGCAAGAACUGGUGUUGUUGGUUGCUGUAAUUGCUUUCAUGCACACUCUUGCAUAUAUGUUUUUUUCCCUUUCAAACAACUUUUCAUUAUCCUACUUCUUUAACAGUAUUUACAGAUUACAAAUUACCCCUCAUCUAAAUACAAUCAGUUCAAAACACCAGUAAGAGAUCUCACUGUUUCCAGCUUACAUAAAGGUGCUAGGGGGAAGAAAGGACACUUUCCCACCACCGUCUUACUUCCUACUGCAGUGACCAAAGCCAGAAUGGAGAAACCAUUUCACCCUGGUGUGGCAAUUACUGCACAUCACUCUGUGAGAGCUAGAGAGGGGAAAGGCCAUGAUUAGGCAAGCUCUUGAUAUAGAUCAACAAAACAGAUGAAAUUAAACUGGGUGAGCUGGCACCAUCUCAAACAUGGUAAAGCAAAGAUGUUUACUCUGCCUGUGGUUGAGGCAGGGUAAUACUCUUACUAAAUAGCUCUCUGAAAAAGUCACUCAAGGCCACACAGAUUGAUAAAGCUAAAUAUCCCUGUGUAUGUAAGUAAACUCAUUUUUUCAGUGUCAUUUUAUAGCUACCAGUGGGAAGGUAGACAGAUGUGGUAUGUAUGUUUUGCAUGACGCACAAAACAAAGAUAGCAAAGAACCUGAGUAUAUCUCCCAUCUGGGCAUUCUUCUCUGCCUUCUUAAGGAUGAACUUGCUGGCCUUACAGAGAGAAGAAAUUUCGGAGGUUUCAGAGGCCUUCUGGGCAUAGUAGAUCUCAUGCUCUCUGGAAAGGGAAAAAAAUAAGAACCAUGUACAACCCAUGUACACUGAAUAGAUCAAGUCAGAAAGGAGAUAUCUCCUGUUAAGUACUUUAGUGCCACAGAAGCUGAAAUGAUGACCAUGAGUAUAGCGAUACAAGAGAAAAUGGCUCAUCACCUAACAUUAAUUACUUAAUGACACAAAGCUGGUAAUAUAAAAAUUGCUAUUGGUGGUCAAAGUUGAGUAUAGUCAGGAUGGCAUAGCACUCUGAACUCCAAAUAUCUAUUUCACAAUCUACCUCAAAUUAAAUUCUCCUUUUUUCUCCCUUACUGAGACUAUCUGGCUUCUUUUUCAUUCUUAUUUUUUGCUUCCUUCAUUGUACCCUGUUUUCCCCCAGUCUAGCCCUCCUGGGAUAGACUAAGCUGGAAAAACUUCAGUUUGCUGCUAUUUUGCUCUGCACUACUUAGCCUCAUAAAGUAGCUUCAGAGACGGUCAGUUUCUCGCAUACAAGGACAAGAUGUCAUGAGGCACGUAGUAGAAGAGUAAACCCAAGCUCUGAUUAUUUUCCUGAAAUGGGAAAAGAGGAAAUGAGGGGAAAGGGAUAAAGGGGGAUUAAAAAUACAGAUAUAUACCAGAAUAAGCAGAAGUGAAAGAUACUACUUCUCACAGAAAAUUUAAUAACUGGGGUCAGUUGAAACCUCCCAGAGCAUCCUCUAGAGAAUAGGAGUCACCCUCCCCCUCACUCAGCCUGGAAACUAGCUACCAGUCCUGUUUAGUCACACACGGAGGCUAAAACCUUCUCUUUGUUAUGUUCACCUACAGCCAGGGUUACCUCACCUUCUAUGUUUCUGCUGGCCACUUCCAUAUGAUCUCAUCUCCACAGCAAACUUGGUGAGAGCGCAGCUCUUCUGCUCCCCAGAAACCCAGUCCUUAGCAGUCAGCUUGGAAAAAAGCUGCCUUAGCAGAGCAGAUCCCUGGCCACUUGUUGGGCUGUUAUGGAUGCCAACUGGGGGUCCAGCUCCACUCCUUGCUCAUCCCUCUCAAGAGGACCACUGAAAUCCCUUCUUCACUCAAAGACAAUCACCACUCAUUUGAUGGCAAAACUCCUAUUGACUUCAGUGGCACAGGAUCAAGCUUGAUGUGCCCAGUGGACUGCGGAAGCCUUGGACAAGCAUGCACAGCAGAAGUGAGCCAAUUGUAACAUUAGCUAUGGAAAUAAAAGCCUUCCAACAAGACAGCUAGAGCUAAAUUGGGGACAAUUAAAGGAAGUACUUGAGCUCUUCUUCCUACCUGCAAUACAGCAAAAGGCCAGGCUCUGAACAAAUUUUGUGGCCAAAGCCAGUUAGUUUUUCAUCUGCUACUACUAUGCAUCCCACGCACUUCCUGAUGUGCUUGAGAGCAUUAUGAAGACAUGCAGGCAGAUCUAGGUUGGACAAAAAAUAUCUACUAAAUCCACCCUCAUGGAGGAAGAUCUGCUUCCCAUGCCCCUACCUACAGAGUUCUUGAUUCCAGCAUUUGAAGAGUAC